UAAGCUAUUGCAUGAAAGUGUUGAAGAAAAAGAGAAGUUGAGAGAAUGAGUUCUGUAUCUGGAUUGUAUAAAACCUGGAAACGAAAAUACAGUAUUGGAAGUUUUAGUGCUACAGCCAACCGAGUCGGUGUUAUUAUUUAAAGUCCCAAUUAUCAAGUUAUUUCAGUUGUCGACGGGGAUAAAGCUAACUAGAGCUGUGAAGAAAAAGUAAAUUUUAGGAAGUGCGUGCAUUGGUUGACACCGGCAUUUUGAUUUGGUUUUGGAGCUGCUUUGACGAUGUAAGUCGUUUUUUUUUUCUUUUGUGAUUCGGUUGUGCUUCAGCAAAAGAAAAGGCGCCAGUUUCCUUUAUUUUAUUGCCAAGUUUUGUUUGUGGCAUUUGAUUGACCUUUGUUGCUUUAUCGAUUAGGAAUCAAUCGUUAUACAAGCUUAAACAAUCAUCGAGUUGUGUUUGGCUAUUUUUCUGCAAAAAAAAAGAAAUAGUGUUUCUUUGUAUAGACCUUUAGAAAGCAAGAUCUUGAAAAGAACGCUUAGACAUCAUCUUUUAUUUGCUUGGAUAUUGUUUCUGUCGACCAGAGUGAGCGCCAGUACUCAUGCCAUUUUGUUUUAAUUUUGUUCCCUUACAUACAGUGUGACGGCGGAGAGUUGACCGAAUAACAACCUUAUCUGGAAGCAAGAGUAAAAGAACUCUGGUGAUUUUUGCAUGUAUGACAGCGUAUGUGCAUGAGUAUUGAUUCUACAAAAUCUACAGCGAAGGAAUUUUAAGCAACGUUUUGAGCUAUUCGGUAAUCAUCGAACCCUGAGAAGCCUACAAGUGUGAAAUUGUGAGGCUGCAAGUGCAUUGCGUAGAACAUCGAUGCGGAGUGUUUGAAGGUCGUUGCCCUUCCUGGUUGGACUAGUGGACGGAUCGUCGGAGUUUGUUGACCUUGAAAGAAAUUGUGCUGUUGUUGUGCUGCUGGAUCGAGUUGUUGUUGCUAUUGUGAACGGCCAUCGCUGGGUGAACUGCUGCUGCUGCUGUGAAUUACUGGUUAGAUUCUCCGGUUGGUGACCCGAAAAACAAAAGUUAUCUUCUCUUUCUACGAAUUUGAUAAUCGAGCGAUUAUACUCAGAUUUCACUUAGCGGAAGAAUCAUUUCUGCUCAUAAGCAACAAAUCAAGCUUUAUGAUGGUGAUCGCCGAAAAGCAAACAGGAGUUUAGUUUUUCAAGGAAACAACAAGCAACAAACUCAUAGAAAGCGGAAGAGAGAGGAUGAUUUCGAGCAUGUUGAAGAAAUUUCGGAUGCUGAAUCAGAUUUCUACGGUUUCCCGGCGGAUUCUUAUUUGUUUGGCGAGCAUCUUUACGAGCAGCAAGUCGAAGAAAUCCCUCAAUCACAAAGAUAAGAUUUUAAACUAAAGGGGGAAGAAGUUGAAGUGAUGUUAGUGAAGAGAAUUAAGCUAUUGCAUGAAAGUGUUGAAGAAAAAGAGAAGUUGAGAGAAUGAGUUCUGUAUAUGGAUUGUAUAAAACCUGGAAACGAAAAUACAGUAUUGGAAGUUUUAG